rnacentral:rRNA from 1 species
CAGUAGCCGCGGUAAUACGAGGGGGGCAAGCGUUGUUCGGAAUUAUUGGGCGUAAAGGGUGCGUAGGCGGUUUGAUAAGUCAUCUGUGAAAUCUCUGGGCUCAACCCAGAGUCUGCAGGCGAAACUGUCGGGCUUGAGUAUGGGAGAGGUGAGUGGAAUUUCCGGUGUAGCGGUGAAAUGCGUAGAUAUCGGAAGGAACACCUGUGGCGAAAGCGGCUCACUGGACCAUAACUGACGCUGAUGCACGAAAGCUAGGGGAGCAAACAGGAUUAGAUACCCCAGUAGUCCCUGUCUCUUAUAC